rnacentral:rRNA from 1 species
CUUGGUCAUUUAGAGGAAGUAAAAGUCGUAACAAGGUUUCCGUAGGUGAACCUGCGGAAGGAUCAUUAAAGAGACGUUGCCCUUCGGGGUAUACCUCCCACCCAUUGUUUAUUAUACCUUUGUUGCUUUGGCAGACCCGGCUUCGGCCCACCGGCUCCGGCUGGUCAGUGUCUGCCAGAGGACCUAAAACUCUGUUUGUUAAUAUUGUCUGAGUACUAUAUAAUAGUUAAAACUUUCAACAACGGAUCUCUUGGUUCUGGCAUCGAUGAAGAACGCAGCGAAAUGCGAUAAGUAAUGUGAAUUGCAGAAUUCAGUGAAUCAUCGAAUCUUUGAACGCACAUUGCGCCCUCUGGUAUUCCGGGGGGCAUGCCUGUUCGAGCGUCAUUACAACCCUCAAGCUUUGCUUGGUAUUGGACAUUGCCAGUUUCUGGCAGGUCUUAAAAUCAGUGGCGGUGCCAUUUGGCUUCAAGCGUAGUAAUUCUUCUCGCUUUGGAGAUCCAGGUGGUUACUUGCCAAUAACCCCCGAUUUUUUCAGGUUGACCUCGGAUCAGGUAGGGAUACCCGCUGAACUUAAGCAUAUCAAUAAGCGGAGGA